GGGAGAUAAAUCCAGUUCAGUGCAGUUGGCGUUAAUGGCAAUGCGUUUUCUUUUUAUUUGUGAUUGUUUAUUUGAAGUGACUUGUUUAGGAUCCGAAGCUUCGUAGGCUAGGAGUGAAGGAGACGCGAGAGGAGGUUUUAGAGAGAGAGAGAGAGAGAGAGAGAAUACAAGAUCCCUUAGCACCAGUAAAUUAGGAUAGGUAUUAAUAACAAUGAAAACAAAUCUACGUGAAUUCAGAAAAUUAAGAAAGGGGGUGGGAAAGGAAUACCGAAGAAACUAAUCAUUCCUGUAACGAGACAAGCUUGAGUCUUGCUGCAGUUACUUUUCAGUCCCAGCUCUCCAAAAGGAAGAUAGAAGGCUGGGAGAUGGACGCGCUGCUCACUGUAAGAGUCAUGGAGACCAGCAUUUUCUUACCACUCCAAAGGACAGAUAAAUAAAUAUUCAGUGAAAUUCGGACAGGAGGGCGGCAUUCAACAGGCGACACCGGCACCGUUGCGUCACCGCGGCCAGGCGUACGAUGCAAGUCACACACGGCAGUCAAGUCUUCGCCAGCUAGUUCGGCGGAACACAAUGCUAAGAAAAAGAAAGAAAAAUCGAAUGAAUGUUACCCACUCAGCAAGACCCCGUCGUGCCAUCCCUCACCAGGACGAGUGGUUAUUGUCACCAGGCCCGCCUGGUGCGUGGCUCGCGGCCCAUGAAUCUUGUUUCGAUCAAUGGCGCCAGGUAGGCCUCGCUGGGGACGGACGGCCAAGGUGCGCCUCGCCCUCGCUAGCACUGUAAAAUGAGGACUUCUGACUAGAGGAAACGGAAGAACAGUAUGAAAUUGUAACAGAAUGCCAUAUCAAAAGUUUUCUGUGAACGGGAAUUGCUCUUACAACCGGAAAGUGCAUAUUGUAUUUCCACAAGAUAUAAUUAGGAAGCAAAUAUGGUUAUAACUACCCGGGGUGACCUCGCCUUCAUGGUGUAGUAAUUAUUCCCUCAAGCUGCCUUUACAAGGACGUCAAUUUUCUUCGUCACGUUCAAGGAGGUGAAGUUAUUAAUCGUCUUGAAUUAUCUUCGGCAAGACACCGUGUAGCAGCUAGUAAACACACCGCGUCCGUAGCGACGAAGAGCUACGGAUGCGAGGCAGUUAUGGAUGCAGUUUGUUGGGAUAUAAUUGCUGAGCUAAGCGCCUCGAAACAAACAAUGAUGCGUGGCUCUGUUCAGUUUGAUAAUCAUCACUGAUCUAUUUACAUGAUUGGACUAAGUAACAAAUCUUAGAAGGUAUGGGACUACACGUUUGUAAAAGAAUUAGUCACAGAUAAUUAGUAUUUUGAUUACUUAAAGAUCUUUAUCAUAUGAUAUAUAUUCCAUGAAUAAAUUUUAUGGAAGGAUUCUGAUCGCAUUCUGUGAACACGUGAUCACUUUCCACGCAAGAAAAUCUUGUCCGAUGAUGAAUUGGGAAAGGAGAGACGCUCCGUGUAAUAAUUGCUCACGGGGACAGACCGCAGAGCAGAGGUAGAGAAUGGGGCUGGCACCGAUCUCACAGCUCAUCCGACCAGUCCUCGUCUGUUACGGGCUGGUUAUUAGACAAAUGCAUAAGAAGAGUAGACGGGAAAGCUGAAUGUUAAAAUUUAAGGGGUGACUGAAAGGUGUUUUCACAUUACAUACUUGAAACCUGAUUAGACGGAGAUGAGUGACACAGCUAAACAUCUUGUGUAGCUUUGACGAUUGAUUUCGUUCAUUUUCCGAAAACCUUGGAUGAAAUGUGGUAUCGGUAAGAAAAGCCAGUAAGAGAAAACAGUGAUACAUUGGCUGCGUGUUGAUAACAGCCACUCAUCUGGCAGUGAUGUGUAGGCCGCUGGCGUUAACUGCUUCACCACACUCGAUAAAAGCUCGUUCCAGCACCCUUUAAAUAUGACUCCAGCAGCCCUGAAGUGUAUCUCACAAGAAAGAAAAAAAAAAAAAAAAAUAGGAGCACGACGAUGACGCCUUGUGAGUCCCAACAUGAGUGCCAGUGCCUGACGCUGCUCUGAUAGGAUUGCAUUGACCAUUAACCGAAGCCCGGACGUGAUGCCUGCUCGUGAGUGAUGGCCCGGAAAGGCCUUGCACCAGGUGGGCAGCUACACUCACUGUGGAUGUAGGAGAGGCAGUGAGUUCUCAGAUACGUUCAUCAGUAUUGUGUGUAUGUGUGUGUGUGUGUGUGAGUGUGUGGUGUUCGUCGUAAGGAUCACAUGCAAGACUUGUGAUCUUCAGCUAAUAUUUUUCUGAGUAUGUUUUGAGCUCAUAGAGUCCGAUCUGUGUGUGUGUCCUUGAGUACUCAUCCCUCUCACGCCGCCAGGUGCAGGUAACAACAUCGCUUGGCUCUCCGACUCGCGGCUUCAAGAGCCGCACCGACGCACCGUCUGAGUCCAGACAAGAAGCGUCUGCUUAUUCUUAUAAAAUACACUACAGGCGCCCAGCAGUUCUACCACUCGAUGUUCUAUGUUUAUAUAAUUUGUUUUUUCACCAUGAAAAUACACUCUAAAUAAUAUCUAUCUAUACGAGAGUGGAUAUAAAUUCGUUUGGUGUACGAUAUGUUGGGCCGAAGACGGUUCGAGUUGGGAGCCUGAGCCUGGAGCCUGGAGGCAAACCCAGUUGGUCACGAAGUUUUGUGGGUGUAGUGUGUUGGUUGCGUGAUGCCUCGUACCUGUUGAGCCGCGUGGUUAGUUUGUAGUUGCUUUUGUUGUGCUAUGUGGCCGAGAACUUAGAUCCGCACGUGUUGUUUUCCGUUUUUACGAAUAUUUGAGAGGCUGGCGCCGCGCACGUGACUCGGCUGAGAACUUAACGAGCUGGAUCCGGACUGACCUGAGGAGGAGGAAAGCCUGCAGGUCAUUCAGCUCAGUUCAAUACACUACUCUGGUUACUCCUUGGCUACUAAUGCGUCUGGCGAGGCUUGCACAGAGGUCCGAGACUUCCGUGCCAUUCCAUCUGACGUCGCGAAGAGCAGAGUGAAGGAGUCUUGGGCCACAUUAUAUAUCCUUUCAUUAUGUGCUCGAGAUUCCCUUUGUUCACUGGGCUUUGAGUAGUCUGCAGUAAUAAUUCUCUCUAUUUUGAACUACGAAAUCGAACAUCCCUAUUUCAAAGAAGUCUCUUUGUUCCUGAGCCCAGUAGCCUCUGGUACCAAUAUCCUGACAAUCUACCUGGCAUCAAUCCUACAGUACGGGCCUCAUAAGCCUAUUCACGCCGUGCGGCAGCCUGUCAGGAGGUGAAUAGGUAUGGGCUCUGUAUGGGCAUCAAGGAAAUGUGAUUAAUUCAACUUCUCUAGAAUAGCUUUCAGCUUAUGCCGUUUUGUUCUCGAGUCGAAAUAAACCUAGCGCGGCCCUAGCUAAGCCGUGGCAGUACUAGCGUGCAUCACAAACACUGCCUGUCUGGGUGUUUGCCUUUGUAUUUCCCGGAAAGAUUUUUUUCAUAAUUACUUUCCCAUGUUCAGAGUUUUGGUUUUAUCUACGUGUGUGUGUGUGUGUGUGUGUGUGUGUGUGUGUGUGUGUGUGUGUGUGUGUACUCGUAUUCGUAAACAUAGGUAACAAAAACUCAUGCACACACAGUCAGUAACUUAGAGAAAAAAAUAAUUGCAUUUACACUAAUUAGCUCUACGGAAUUUUACCUACACACUAAUUUGUAUUUCAGUUAAAUGUAGGCAGUAUCACACAUUGUUCUCUCUUUAUUGUGGCUCAUGAUUCUAGAGCGAAGGGAAAGAGUGACGUGUUUAAGGGACGAGUACGCACGAGGCUGGCAGAAGAAACAAAGGAGAGAGAGAGAGACAGAACUGAUGCACUGCGCAGCCUCGCCUUGUUACCUCUCGUGAUUUCCUCUUCAACAAUAAUUAAAAAUGCAUACGAGGGCAGUGCGAGUUGUAGGGAGAAGACUGAGCGCAAAUGUUUCUCUCUCUCUCUCUCUCUCUCUCUCUCUCUCUCUCUCUCUCUCUCUCUCUCUCUCUCUCUCUCUCUCUCUCUCUCUCUCUCUCUCUCUCUCUCACUACACUUUCCUUUUCUUUUCCUCCUCGCCAAGUCUCCACAUCUCACGUUCUUACUCGGCUCUACGUCGCUUCCCUGUCGCGCCUCAGACUUGAGCUUCAUCUCCUGUAGUUAUGACGCGUCGCCUCUCCCUCCUCCGGCUAUUACUUCCCUCCGUCUACCUUCCUGCACCCCGCCAGACCCCAGCUUCGUCCCCCUCCUGUCUCUUCAGUAGUUCCCAGUAUCGCGUUCACGUCUCCUCCAGCUCUCUACGGUAACAAGAUGAAGAUACAUGUAGCCUUGUAGUAUGAUUUUUAUAUGGGUUUGAUAAUGUGUGUUAUUAUUUCAUGUGUGUUUGCCGUGUGCGUGAAAGUUAGUUGUGCUAUUGAAUGUUGGUGUGUUACGUUUUCUUUUGCUUUCAGGGACAAUGGGUGUUUUUUUUAUUUCUUAUAGUUAUUGGUGUGUUUGUGCUGGCUUCCCGUCUUGUGUAUUGAGUCUUUGCGUAUGGAAGGGACGUUUUUGUUAAGAAAAUUCUUUGUACAUAAGCCAGCCGUUACGUAAGAUAGCGAAAAAUAUAUUUUGAAAAAUAAAAAUUUUCCUCCCAUUGGUUAUCAAAAGGAAGAGAUAACUUAUCAUAACAGCAGCAACAACAAUAACAUCAACAGCAGCAGCAGCAGUAGGAAUAAUAAUAAUAAUAAUAGUAAUAAUAAUAAUAAUAAUAAUAAUAAUAAUAAUAGACAGAUUAUUGCGUGAUUUAUCACCAAUAUCACACUCUUUAAAAUGCACACACACACACACACACACACACACACACACACACACACACACACACACACACACACACACACACACACACACACACACACACACACACACACA